CAGCAGUUGAUCUGAGUCACAGGCACCACUCCGGAUCUUGGCUCCAUCUUCUGUGAUAAAGGAAAAGGAUAGGGAGGAAAAAUGGAACCAUGAGGUAACUGCAAUUAUCAGCUUCUAAAUCAAUCUCAGCCUUCCUAUCCGGUUCCGUCAAACUUGGAGAGCUACAGGGCAGAGAGGCUUAAGAAGGUCAAAGAAAGAACAGCUGGCUUAAGACCAGAAAUGCAUCAGGAA